UACGGGGGGGGCAAGCGUUGUUCGGAAUUACUGGGCGUAAAGGGCUCGUAGGUGGCCAACUAAGUCGGACGUGAAAUCCCUCGGCUUAACCGGGGAACUGCGUCUGAUACUGGAUGGCUUGAGUUCGGGAGAGGGAUGCGGAAUUCCAGGUGUAGCGGUGAAAUGCGUAGAUAUCUGGAGGAACACCGGUGGCGAAGGCGGCAUCCUGGACCGACAUUGACGCUGAGGAGCGAAAGCCAGGGGAGCAAACGGG
rnacentral:rRNA from 1 species